rnacentral:tRNA from 1 species
ACGGCGCGACCGCCUCCCGGAGCGGGACGAGCGCCGACUCGAAGUCCGCGUGGCCGGGGGCCACUUCGGCCACCGCCUCGAUCGCCGCCUGGGUGCCGUCC